UAUUGGACAAUGGGCGAAAGCCUGAUCCAGCCAUGCCGCGUGUGUGAAGAAGGACUUCGGAUUGUAAAGCACUUUAAGUUGGGAGGAAGGGCAGUUACCUAAUACGUGAUUGUCUUGACGUUACCGACAGAAUAAGCACCGGCUAACUCUGUGCCAGCAGCCGCGGUAAUACAGAGGUUGCAAGCGUUAAUCGGAAUUACUGGGCGUAAAGCGCGCGUAGGUGGUUUGUUAAGUUGAAUGUGAGAUCCCCGGGCUCAACCUGGGAACUGCAUCCAAAACUGGCAAGCUAGAGUAUAGUAGAGGGUAGUGGAAUUUCCUGUGUAGCGGUGAAAUGCGUAGAUAUAGGAAGGAACACCAGUGGCGAAGGCGACUACCUGGACUGAUACUGACGCUGGGGUGCGAAAGCGUGGGGAGCAAACAGG
rnacentral:rRNA from 1 species